AUUGAACGCUGGCGGCAUGCCUUACACAUGCAAGUCGAACGGCAGCGGGGACUUCGGUCCGCCGGCGAGUGGCGAACGGGUGAGUAAAGUAUCGGAACGUACCUUUCAGUGGGGGAUAACGUAGCGAAAGUUACGCUAAUACCGCAUAUUCUGUGAGCAGGAAAGCAGGGGAUCGCAAGACCUUGCGCUGAUUGAGCGGCCGAUAUCAGAUUAGCUAGUUGGUGAGGUAAAGGCUCACCAAGGCGACGAUCUGUAGCGGGUCUGAGAGGAUGAUCCGCCACACUGGGACUGAGACACGGCCCAGACUCCUACGGGAGGCAGCAGUGGGGAAUUUUGGACAAUGGGCGCAAGCCUGAUCCAGCCAUGCCGCGUGCGGGACGAAGGCCUCGG
rnacentral:rRNA from 1 species